rfam:Ovis aries breed Texel chromosome 1, whole genome shotgun sequence.
UCCCAGGUGGCUCAGAUGGUAAAGAAUCUGCCUGUAAUGCAGGAAACCUGGGUUCAAUCCCUAGGUUGGGAA